AUUGAACGCUGGCGGCAGGCCUAACACAUGCAAGUCGAGCGGAUGAAGGGAGCUUGCUCCUGGAUUCAGCUGCGGACGGGUGAGUAAUGCCUAGGAAUCUGCCUGGUAGUGGGGGAUAACGUCCGUAAACGGGCGCUAAUACCGCAUACGUCCUGAGGGAGAAAGUGGGGGAUCUUCGGACCUCACGCUAUCAGAUGAGCCUAGGUCGUAUUAGCUAGUUGGUGGGGUAAAGGCCUACCAAGGCGACGAUCCGUAACUGGUCUGAGAGGAUGAUCAGUCACACUGGAACUGAGACACGGUCCAGACUCCUACGGGAGGCAGCAGUGGGGAAUAUUGGACAAUGGGCGAAAGCCUGAUCCAGCAAUGCCGCGUGUGUGAAGAAGGUCUUCGGAUUGUAAAGCACUUUAAGUUGGGAGGAAGGGAAGUAAGUUAAUCCCUUGCUGUUUUGACGUUACCAACAGAAAAAGCACCGGCUAACUUCGUG
rnacentral:rRNA from 1 species